rnacentral:rRNA from 1 species
GAUCAUGGCUCAGGAUGAACGCUAGCUACAGGCUUAACACAUGCAAGUCGAGGGGAAACGAUAUUGGAAGCUUGCUUCCGAUAGGCGUCGACCGGCGCACGGGUGAGUAACGCGUAUCCAACCUGCCCAUCACUUGGGGGAUAACCUUGCGAAAGUAAGACUAAUACCCAAUGACGUCUCUAGAAGACAUCUGAAAGAGAUUAAAGAUUUAUCGGUGAUGGAUGGGGAUGCGUCUGAUUAGCUUGUUGGCGGGGUAACGGCCCACCAAGGCGACGAUCAGUAGGGGGUUCUGAGAGGAAGGUCCCCCACAUUGGAACUGAGACACGGUCCAAACUCCUACGGGAGGCAGCAGUGAGGAAUAUUGGUCAAUGGACGAGAGUCUGAACCAGCCAAGUAGCGUGAAGGAUGAAGGUCCUACGGAUUGUAAACUUCUUUUAUAAGGGAAUAAAACCUCCCACGUGUGGGAGCUUGUAUGUACCUUAUGAAUAAGCAUCGGCUAACUCCGUG